rnacentral:lncRNA from 1 species
GGAACACACAAACUAUCCUAGAACCUGAGCAACCCAUUAGUAGAGACUCAAAAUUCUGAAUUUAAACCCUAUUAUGUGUCAUUUCUGAGAGCUCCUAGAGUGAGAUUUACCAGUUGAGCCUCCUUUAUUUUCUAGAUUAACUCGAGUUGGACUGCUACAUGAGCUAGAUAUGUGGCCCUUUUCAAGUCUUGGAGCUGUAUCUGCUGUGCGACUUUUAUCAUCAUGCACUUAUAGACUAUUAUGUGAGGUAACAUACCUGCAUUCUUCAUGCUAAGGGUGUCAACUACCCCAUUACCUUUGUCCGGGUGAUACAUGAUC